GAUGAACGCUAGCGGCAGGCUUAACACAUGCAAGUCGAGGGGUAUGCUUCUUCGGGAGCAGAGACCGGCGCACGGGUGCGUAACGCGUAUGCAAUCUACCUUUUACAGAGGGAUAGCCCAGAGAAAUUUGGAUUAAUACCUCAUAGUAUAGUACAAUCGCAUGAUUGAACUAUUAAAGUCACAACGGUAAAAGAUGAGCAUGCGUCCCAUUAGCUAGUUGGUAAGGUAACGGCUUACCAAGGCUACGAUGGGUAGGGGUCCUGAGAGGGAGAUCCCCCACACUGGUACUGAGACACGGACCAGACUCCUACGGGAGGCAGCAGUGAGGAAUAUUGGACAAUGGGCGCAAGCCUGAUCCAGCCAUGCCGCGUGCAGGAUGACGGUCCUAUGGAUUGUAAACUGCUUUUAUACGAGAAGAAACACUCCUUCGUGAAGGAGCUUGACGGUAUCGUAAGAAUAAGGAUCGGCUAACUCCGUGC
rnacentral:rRNA from 1 species